rnacentral:lncRNA from 1 species
CAGUGGUUCAUGGUUCGUUACUAGAGCAGUUACACACAGCUAAAGAAGGGAUCAUUUGGGAGUAUUCCUCCUGCAUUGUGGAAGAGCUUACUGUGCACUGAAAAUGAAGAAUUCCCAUGAGUUCCUCUACACUUAAGUGAAAUUAAAAAGAAGUGAUAGAGGAUGGUCCAAUACCAGUAAGGUAAGGGAGUGUGUACAAUAUUUUGUUGAAUUAAAUUCCCAUAUGCAAUAAUAAUAAAAUGAUAGGUAUUUAGGCUGUUAUUUCA